GAUGCAGAUACCCCCCCUCAGCUCCCGGCCUGCCACGUAGGCCUGUCCAUCCAUGGCCUUGCACCAACAGCUCUCGAGAAGCCCUAGGAGCCGUUUUGCAGCACGGAGGGGCUGUUCCUGGCUUCAGCGUUGAACUCUGCCCACUGCCUCAGGGCCAGCAUCUCAGGAGGUGAGCUGGGGACAGGAUAUCCUUACGCUUCUCCAUGAAGACUGGACCAAGCUAUCUGGAUCACAGUCCACGUACCCCACGGGAAACUUAGCUCCUGCCACACCUGGAGCUUUGGGCCCUGGGGGUGCCUGGGAAGCCCACCUGAUGUCCAAGGAGGCACGCAGCACCCUACAUGCCGGUACCGAUCACCUUUGAAGGUGCUUUUGGGCACUCAAGAUAUCUGCCCAGGCUGGCAGAUGUGACCCAGGACCUGCAGGAGCGGUGCCCUCUCGAAGAGGCAAAGGAAGAGCCCCACGACGGAGGAGCCGGGCGCAGGAGCCUGCCAGGGCUUCAGCGUGGACUUUCACCCCAGAUCUCGUGUAGCCAAAUCUGCUGGCGCCUCUCUGAAAGGAAGAACUGCGCUUAGAGGUUUUCUUUCGCUUUCCUUUGAACACACUUCUGUUGGUUACCUUGGUAUUUUCAGUCCCUGCUGCACUGAGUGACAGACACCUGCGUGCAGGAGGGCAGCCGAGGGCUCACCUAGCAGACAAGGCAUAUGUGCAUAUGCAAACACGUGCAGAACCCUUCCUCCGCAGCAGGGGCCCCACUCUGGCCCCUUGCCCCGAGGGCAGCCACGCGGUUGCAGACCCAAGCUGCCCUUGGCGCUGGCCCAAUCUGCACCUUCCGCGCAGGGAGACAGUGGCCCUGCGUGCCCCUCCAUGCGAAUUAGGAGGUCAUGGAAACACAUCUAAUACUUCAGCUCAAGCUGUACCAGUUUUUGGUUUCCAGCUUCUUUCACUCAGUGUGCCUGUUAAACUGCCCGGAAGGGGCUGAAACACACAGAUAGCAAAAUUACUAUUUGUGUUAGAGCAACUCCUGAGGCACUAGGAGUUGUGCCAGGUUUCAUGCCAGGCACCAUAAAAACAUAGGUUAGAAGACACAUCAUAUAUAUAUAUAUAAAAAAAAUAUAUAUUAUGUAUAUAUAUAUAUAUAUAUACACACACACACACAUAUGUGUGUAUGCACAUGCGUGCAGGUGCACACAUGCGUAGAGCAGCCUUGCUAGACAUGUUCCAUAUGUCCGCUAUGCUGUGAAUCAAGGUUGGAAGAAAAUCAUUACAUACAAACUUUGCUCCAAAUUCUGUAAAACAAACACACGAAAUCAGCUACAAACCAGAACUAUAACCGCAGCCCACUGGGUCAUCUCACCCAGCCUCAAAUCUUCUGGUAAACAACAUGUAUAAUAAUAGCCACUCUGCUCCUCUAAGCAUCUCUGCACGUUUAUUGUAUGCAAUGUAGUGUAUAAAAUAUAUAUCUCCGUGUAAUUAGCAGUGUUCUGAGUGGUGACUCAGACAUUCCAGUAAGCUUUUUGCUUGUCGUUGGUGUGUGAAAUGUAACUUUAGUCAUUUUUUCCAAUGACUUUGGACUUUAAAAACAGUAAUUAGCAAAGUCAGCUUGUUAUCAGCUCCUGUCAGUAACCCGUCCUUAUGCCAGUCCUUCAUUUUGUUUUGGUCACGGACAAAACUUUGGCACUCAUUUCUCAAGGCUUGCAUUUGUCUGGAGGACUGAGGCAGUCAAGUGAGGAAAAUAGGCCCUAAACCUGCAAACGCUUUCACGCAUUUUAAUUUUAAGCACUUGAAUAGUUUCAUUGAAGUAGCUCCAGAUUGGGUCUUUAUAUAGCAUGGUAAAUAGUAGGCAAGACAUGAAAUAAAACUUUAGAAGCA